rnacentral:rRNA from 1 species
CCUACGGGAGGCAGCAGUGAGGAAUAUUGGUCAAUGGGCGCUAGCCUGAACCAGCCAAGUAGCGUGAAGGAUGACUGCCCUAUGGGUUGUAAACUUCUUUUAUAUGGGAAUAAAGUGCAGUAUGUAUACUGCUUUGCAUGUACCUUAUGAAUAAGGAUCGGCUAACUCCGUGCCAGCAGCCGCGGUAAUACGGAGGAUCCGAGCGUUAUCCGGAUUUAUUGGGUUUAAAGGGAGCGUAGGCGGGUUGUUAAGUCAGUUGUGAAAGUUUGCGGCUCAACCGUAAAAUCGCAGUUGAUACUGGCAGCCUUGAGUACAGUAGAGGUAGGCGGAAUUCGUGGUGUAGCGGUGAAAUGCUUAGAUAUCACGAAGAACUCCGAUUGCGAAGGCAGCCUGCUGGACUGUAACUGACGCUGAUGCUCGAAAGUGUGGGUAUCAAACAGGAUUAGAUACCCUGGUAGUC